GGCGCUUAUAGGCGCCGGCGCACCGGCCGAACUGUUCGUCCGGUCAAGCCCCAGCCGCCCGAUACAUCCGUUCCCCACCGUCUGAUUGCUUUGUUUUAAAAGUCAAACACGCAGAAAAAAAAACACGCACAGGAAACACAAAAAAAAGGACAGCGAGCGCGCAUGCCAGAUCUGUGUGCUCGCCGGCCGCUCGCGAUAGUCCUCGUCUUCCCGUGCUUGCUUUCCACCGCGCCACCACGCCCGUCACCCGCGCUCGCCUGCCGCUUGCCUGACGGUCGUGUCUGACACUUGCCUUGGCUGCCUCUGCUCGUCAUGGUUGCAACUCAAACACAGGAGGAUUCCAGCGCGCUGUCAUCAUGGUUGGAGCAUCCCUGGCGUCCCCGUCUCCGGCUCGCCGCCAUUGUCAACUUGCAGCGUCAUGUCUAGCAAAAAAAGCAAUAAAAAUCUCCAAUGCUGGGUUGAAGCAAAAAAAUUUGCCGGUUCCAGCAAAAAAUAAUGAUGGUUCCAGCAAAACUCUCAACAGCACAAAAACUCCAGUAGCAGAUUGUAGCAAAAAAAUUAGCUAGUUCCAGCAAAAAGAAACACUGGUUCCAACAAAAAAUCAUGCCGCUUCAAGCAAGAAUGUUUGCUGGUUCCAACAAAUUACAUGACACUGUGAUGCGUGUUGGAUGUAGCAAUUGAGAACAUUGGUUGUAGCAAAAACUCAAACGGUGGUAGCAAAGAAAUUGAUGCACUGGUUCCCCCCAAAAAACAUGGUAGCAAAAUAAUUGAUUGGUUCCAACAAAAACCGAGGUUGGUUGUAGCAAAAAUGUACAUUGGUUGUAUCAAAAACAAAUGACAUGGUUGCAAAAAUUUGGGUUGGUUCCAUAAAAAAGAAACGAACAUGAUGGUAGCAAAAUAAUUAAUUGGUUCCAGCAAGAACUGAAGAUGGUGGUAGCAAAAUUGAAAACCGGUUGUACCAAAAAGCAAAUGACAUGGCAGCAAAACUUCGAGUUGGUUCCAUAGAAAAAGAACAUGGUUGUAGCAAAAUCUUACACUGGUUCCAGCAAAAAUCAAGGGCGUCUGCAGCAAAAAUUGGGGCUGCUUCCAAGAAAAGAAAAUGAUGGAUCUCCAUCACUUGUCGCCGUGGUUGCAACGCCUCAACGUCGGCCGCCGCGGCUCUCCGUUACUUCUCGCCGCCAUCGGCAGCACCGGUGGGGGUUGGUUUGCAGCGCUGGUCGCUGGUGGGGCGUGAGGGGGCGG
rnacentral:lncRNA from 1 species